GACUUCGUGAGUGCCUGCCUUGCCUGCACCUCAGAAUUGAUGUGUAGCUUCAAUUCCAUAAACUUGCGUCCGCAUCUUCUAGGUACCAUAUAGUAUAAGAUUAUAAGAUUUUGAUUAUUUUUUCAAGAUCUGUAUUUCCUCAAAAAAAAAAGGCAUCAACCUCUGCAUUUCUUGAACAAAUUAAAAAUGGUGUCGACCCUUGUAACGAUCAUUGAUAGUAAAGCAUAGCCACUGAUCCAGAGUGAAAAAACCAGAUGUACAAGCAGAUUAUUUUGUGCAAAAUUAGCGCUAUAACUCUCGGAACACCGCGUGAUUGUGGAACAAAUCCGUCUAACGCAUCUGCUUCUAAUUUACCAUGGCGCAGCCGGGACCUUGAACUCUGACCAGGCCAGGGACUUCGACCUCGCCUUGAAGGAGCGGUUCUACCUGCAGCCGCUGCCGCCGGCGGAAGCCGCGGCGAGGGCCAAGUCGUCGGCCCAGGACAUCCUCAACCUCAAGCCGCUCAUCGACAAGAAGGCGUGGCCGUACGUCAUGAACGACCUCCGCCUCCGAGCCUCCUACCUGCGCUACGACCUCAACACCGUCAUCGCCUCCAAACCCAAGGAUGAGAAGAAGAGCCUCAAGGAGCUCAC
rnacentral:lncRNA from 1 species